UCUCAGAAUCCUAAAUGAUUUAGCACCUCCUCUCUGUCCCUGCUGAAGCCAGCAACACAGCUGCUUCUGCUAUAGGGAAGCGCUUGUGAAUUCACUGGGAGACUCACAUUUGGGCAAGAGGAUCUGCAACCCUCAUAUAGACUUUGCCAUUCAGGCAUUGCAAUCCUAUCCCCCCCCCCCCCCCACCCUUCCCUCCUCUCUCCAGCUCCCCUCCAUCCUUAAAGCUCUAUGUAGCAGCGUGGAUAGCUGGGGAAAUGCAGUAGCAUAGGAUGCAGCCAGAGCCAAAGGCUGAUGGAAGAGAGGGAAAGAGAGAAGGCACCAAAAAAAGAAAAAAAGAUUUGAUGUUUCAGCAAUGGAAAGCCCAUUAACCCUGCACUGGGCAGGGGUGGCACCUGGGUGCUGAGUGAGACCCCCCCCCCCCACCACCACCACCUCUUUGCAAAGGCUGACUUGGUUAAUCUGAUGCAAUGCUGGAUGUACGAGUGCAUGGGAGAUUCCUUGGAUUUUCUGUCUGUUAAACACACUGUUGGAGGUGGCCAUGCCAUCUGCAGGAGCCUGUGCCAUAGAUUCUCCAAUUUGCUAGCCAGGCAUUGAUCUACCACCCUCACCCAGACAAAUGUUGGCCAAGCUGUUCUGAUUGGGAUGUCCUUUUGCCUACAUCCUCUCUCUCUUCUUCUUUUUUUUUUUUUUUUUCUUUGGUACUCAUUUUAUUCUUCACUUGCUGGAUGAACUAAAGGUGGGAAAUUCCUGAUUCCUUUAAUGCAACUAGAUUGUAAUUAUUUUUAUUUUUAUUUUUUUUACUGGCUAUUCCAUGUGACUUACAAAACUGCAUAGAGUGAUGGAAGAGCAUACAUUCCCAUAGACAAGCCGGAUCGAUAGCUUAUCAAAUGGGUCCUCGGAGAGUACAUUGUGUCUGGGAUUCCGUUAGCCAAAGAAAAAAGCGCGAACAGGUUGAAGCUGUUCAUUUAAAUGCAGAGGUACACAGUCCACUGUGGAAUACUGGCAGACUGAGUGACAUGGCACUAAUGGGCGGCUCCUGAUUUUUGAGCGCAUGUGUAUGGCAGACAUAUCAGAGUCUUCCAGCGAAGAGGAUUCUGUGCCAAGCCAACACUCGUUCCGGUUCGUUCUUAGCAAGAGACAACACUGCCAGCUUCCUAUCCUGUGCAGGGGUUUAGGUGUUAGUGGCGCCUGCUUGUCUUAGUCUGGAGGACU